GCCAGGCAUGGUGGCGCAUGCCUGUAGUCCUAGCUACUUGGGAGGCUGAGGCAGGAGGAUCGUUUGAGCCCAGGAUAUGGAGGUUGCAGUGAGCUGAAAUCACACCAUUGCACUCCAGCCUGGGUGACAGAGUGAGACCCUGUCUAAA
ensembl:misc_RNA Metazoa_SRP Metazoan signal recognition particle RNA